GAGUUUGAUCAUGGCUCAGGACGAACGCUGGCGGCGUGCCUAAUACAUGCAAGUCGAACGAGGCUUUUUGAUUGAUGCUUGCAUCAGCUAAAAAGCCGAGUGGCGAAUGGGUGAGUAACACGUGGGUAACCUGCCUUGAAGUGGGGGAUAACAUUUGGAAACAGAUGCUAAUACCGCAUAACCACAAAAACCCCCUGGUUUUUGUGUCAAAGAUGGUUCUGCUAUCACUUCAAGAUGGACCCGCGGCGUAUUAGCUUGUUGGUGAGGUAACGGCUCACCAAGGCAAUGAUACGUAGCCGAACUGAGAGGUUGAUCGGCCACAUUGGGACUGAGACACGGCCCAAACUCCUACGGGAGGCAGCAGUAGGGAAUCUUCCACAAUGGACGCAAGUCUGAUGGAGCAACGCCGCGUGAGUGAAGAAGGUCUUCGGAUCGUAAAACUCUGUUGUCAGAGAAGAACGUGCGUGAGAGCAACUGUUCAUGCAGUGACGGUAUCUGACCAGAAAGUCACGGCUAACUACGUGCCAGCAGCCGCGGUAAUACGUAGGUGGCAAGCGUUGUCCGGAUUUAUUGGGCGUAAAGGGAACGCAGGCGGUCUUUUAAGUCUGAUGUGAAAGCCUUCGGCUUAACCGAAGUCGUGCAUUGGAA
rnacentral:rRNA from 1 species